GAUGAACGCCAGCGGCAGGCUUAAUACAUGCAAGUCGAGGGGCAGCAGUUUUGUAGCAAUACAGAAGCUGGCGACCGGCAAACGGGUGCGGAACACGUACGCAACCUUCCUUUAACUGGAAGAUAGCCCACCGAAAGGUGGAUUAAUACUCCAUAACAUAUUGAAGAGGCAUCUUUUUGAUAUUAAAGCUCCGGCGGUUAAAGAUGGGCGUGCGUCUGAUUAGGUAGUUGGCGGGGUAACGGCCCACCAAGCCUUCGUUAAGUAGCUGAUGUGAGAGCAUGAUCAGCAACACGGGCACUGGGACACGGGCCCGACUCCUACGGGAGGCAGCAGUAAGGAAUAUUGGUCAAUGGACGCAAGUCUGAACCAGCCAUGCCGCGUGGAGGAUGAAGGCCCUCUGGGUUGUAAACUUCUUUUCUUUGGGACGAAACCCCUGUUUCUACGGGGACUGACGGUACCAGAGGAAUAAGCACCGGCUAACUCCGUGCCAGCAGCCGCAGUAA
rnacentral:rRNA from 1 species